rnacentral:rRNA from 1 species
CCUACGGGAGGCAGCAGUGGGGAAUAUUGGACAAUGGGGGGAACCCUGAUCCAGCCAUACCGCGUGUGUGAAGAAGGCCCUCGGGUUGUAAAGCACUUUCAGUGAGGAAGAACGCCUGGUGGUUAAUACCCAUCAGGAAAGACAUCACUCACAGAAGAAGCACCGGCUAACUCCGUGCCAGCAGCCGCGGUAAUACGGAGGGUGCGAGCGUUAAUCGGAAUUACUGGGCGUAAAGCGCGCGUAGGUGGCUUGAUAAGCCGGUUGUGAAAGCCCCGGGCUCAACCUGGGAACGGCAUCCGGAACUGUCAAGCUAGAGUGCAGGAGAGGAAGGUAGAAUUCCCGGUGUAGCGGUGAAAUGCGUAGAGAUCGGGAGGAAUACCAGUGGCGAAGGCGGCCUUCUGGACUGACACUGACACUGAGGUGCGAAAGCGUGGGUAGCAAACAGGAUUAGAUACCCCAGUAGUC